rnacentral:tRNA from 1 species
GUGGAANGUGGAGCAGUUGGCAGCUCGUCGGGCUCAUAACCCGAAGGUCGUAGGUUCAAGUCCUGCCUCCGCA